AAAUUGAAGUCGCGUGUUUGCAUUAGUUUUUUGAAUUGCUGCUGGGGCUGGGGCUGCGUGAUCGUCACUGGCGUCCUCCAGAGUGCCCACCGAUCGGAAAGUCGUACGAACCGCAAGCUUUGAACGUCUGUUUAUCGCAACAUCGAAAGCGGUGGCACAGAAGACGCGAUGUGAGCUCCGGUGGGAACAGCAGCCCUUUGUCUCGUAACGGUCCCUGACACCGCCUCUCCGACUUCUAAGAGCACACGGGUUUUUCCGGAAUCUUCCAAAAGAUGCUAGAACUUUUCUGAAGACCCCCCGUGGGGCUGUCGAGGAUGUUGCUAUCUCUACAAUAGCCGGAGAAGACGAAACAAGUUUUGCAAUGCACACGGACUGGCUCAGUUGUGAAUGUCACAAAUGCUCCCCUAACGAGGAUCAAAUCAAUGAAAGGAUGGCCUUGAUAAAUAAUAUUCAUGAGGCGAAGAGGAAGUACCCAUACAUGAUGAGCUUUGAGAGGUGACUUUGCAAGACUGACUAAGAUUGACCCAUCACCUUGUAUUGCAAAAGGGAUCAACAAAAUUGUGAAAAUGGCAGAAAUGAAACACAUCCCUUGCGAAGCAAGUGUAAUGGCAUCACUUCAAAAGGCUCGUGAGAUGUCACCGGAGAGGCUGCGAACCCGACGACCCGAGCGUUCCUGCAACCUCUUGCAUCGUAUUUUCUGGAGAAGACGUUGAAGAGGCUGACCUCCACAUCAAGGUGGACCGCGAGAUGUUUGCAGUGAAAAAUGGGGAGGAGGGGCUGGCGGCUGUUUUAUCUGCUUACUGGCUCUUCAAUAUCCAGUACGACCGCAAGCUGUUCAACACUCUUCUCGUGUUGGAGCGCCUUUUCCUUGGGCUCACAUUGAGUACCCUAUAGAGUAGUGGCUACAAAGUUCUUGAACAAUGUUGCCAAAUGUGUGCCAUGUUUAAUGUGCUGAAGCUGUGCACUGUUACCUCAUCAUGAGUUUAGCUGUAAUUUUCAGAUGCAAGUUUUGUUUUGUCUAACCAUUUCUGCAAUACAUAUGAAGGAAGCCAACAGUCACCGAUAACAAGGCAAGCU